CAGUAGCCGCGGUAAUACAGAGGGUGCGAGCGUUAAUCGGAUUUACUGGGCGUAAAGCGUGCGUAGGCGGCUUCUUAAGUCGGAUGUGAAAUCCCUGAGCUUAACUUAGGAAUUGCAUUCGAUACUGGGAAGCUAGAGUAUGGGAGAGGAUGGUAGAAUUCCAGGUGUAGCGGUGAAAUGCGUAGAGAUCUGGAGGAAUACCGAUGGCGAAGGCAGCCAUCUGGCCUAAUACUGACGCUGAGGUACGAAAGCAUGGGGAGCAAACAGGAUUAGAUACCCCAGUAGUCCCUUGUCUCUUAUA
rnacentral:rRNA from 1 species